UUUGUCGGAAAUGAAACACCCUUACCAUAACCGAGUUUCAGGCUUCCUUACCGCUGUAAACACUACUGUAACUAUGGUAAAAGUGGCGUCAGUUUUUGCUGUACUAGUUUGAGUCCGAUAAUGAAAGUUUGGAGAAGAAGCUGAUUGACCUGAACCACCUUCCAAGCACGACUUGAGCAAGAUGUUUCACAGUGAAUGCCCAAAUCCCACUACUUAGAAGGUCCUCGUUGUGACAUGGUUACUCGCCUCAAUCCGGGUGGCGGAGGACAAGUGUCAGUUGCCUCUGCUUCUGAGAGAGUCAAUCCACAUAUCUUAUCAUGUGGCUCGUUGUGCACGACACCGCUGAGACUCACAGUAUGUAGAGGCUCAUGCUACUCUCCGUGAUCCAUGCACAACUCUCCACAUGCCCCAUUGAAAGCGGGAACCACUAAUCGCGGCCACAAGGAGAUUACCCCAUGUGACUCUACCCUCACUAGCAACCAGGCUAAUUUGGUUGCUUAGGAGACCUGGCUGGAGUCACUCAGCAUGCCCUGGAUUUUAACUUGCGACUCCAGGGGUGGUACUCAGCGUCAAUAUUUGUGGAGUUACCCAGGUCCCUGUUUUUUUGUCUCUUUUUAAUUUUUUUUGUAUAUUUUUUUUAACAUAUGUAUAGGACAGAGUAUGGAUUUUUUUGGUACCCUGCAAAAAGUCCUAAUGUGUAGUACUUGAUGUGACAUUUAAAUGACUUUCGUUUCUGUGCCCUAUGCAGUCAGGUUUAUUCAGUCAUAUUAAAUUAUAUUUUUUACUAGAAUAAAACCAGUUGAUUGAGGCACUUGUUUAGGUUACAAAUGAUGGUGUAUGAUAAAAAGAGGCAUCUACUAAGUGCAUUUCAAUACUCUGCUAAUAAAGUUUUAUUUUGUAUACAGUGAGAAUAAACAAAAAUGUCCCUGUCUCUGUUCUAUGGUAAUGAACAUAUGAAGAAUAAACAUUUACAUCAUUAACUGUUCAGUCUGUAAAAGGGGCAUUUGAAAUAAUCUAGUGUUAAAAGGCCAUAACAUUGGGAGUGUUGAUAUUUGAUGGGUUUUGUUGUUUUGUUGCCACUGAUCAUAAUGCAAUAGUGUAUUGAUGGUGCUGUUAAUGAUCAAGUAGUGUGAAUGUUGUUAUAGAAUCACCUGUGAAGUUCUGGUUGUCUAAUUGUUUAUAAACAUGUUUACCACAUAUCAGUUUGUCUGUGCAUUGAACUAUCACACAGACCCUGACCUCUGCAUGACA